rnacentral:rRNA from 1 species
AGGUAAGCUACUAAGAGCGAAUGGUGGAUGCCUUGACUGGUAAAGGCGAUGAAGGACGUACUAGACUGCGAUAAGCUACGGGGAGCUGUCAAGAAGCUUUGAUCCGUAGAUUUCCGAAUGGGGCAACCCAAUGUAUAGAGAUAUACAUUACCUAUAUAGGAGCGAACGAGGGGAAUUGAAACAUCUUAGUACCCUCAGGAAAAGAAAUCAAUAGAGAUUGCGUCAGUAGCGGCGAGCGAAAGCGCAAGAGGGCAAACCCAGUGCUUGCACUGGGGGUUGUAGGACUGCAAUGUGCAAGAGCUGAGUUUAGCAGAACAUUCUGGAAAGUAUAGCCAUAGAGGGUGAUAGUCCCGUAUGCGAAAAACAAAGCUUAGCUAGCAGUAUCCUGAGUAGGGCGGGACACGAGGAAUCCUGUCUGAAUCCGGGUCGACCACGAUCCAACCCUAAAUACUAAUACCAGAUCGAUAGUGCACAAGUACCGUGAGGGAAAGGUGAAAAGAACUGAGGUGAUCAGAGUGAAAUAGAACCUGAAACCAUUUGCUUACAAUCAUUCAGAGCACUAUGUAGCAAUACAGUGUGAUGGACUGCCUUUUGCAUAAUGAGCCUGCGAGUUGUGGUGUCUGGCAAGGUUAAGCAAACGCGAAGCCGUAGCGAAAGCGAGUCUGAAUAGGGCGCUUAGUCAGAUGCUGCAGACCCGAAACGAAGUGAUCUAUCCAUGAGCAAGUUGAAGCUAGUGUAAGAACUAGUGGAGGACUGAACCCAUAGGCGUUGAAAAGCCCCGGGAUGACUUGUGGAUAGGGGUGAAAGGCCAAUCAAACUUCGUGAUAGCUGGUUCUCUCCGAAAUAUAUUUAGGUAUAGCGUUGUGUCGUAAUAUAAGGGGGUAGAGCACUGAAUGGGCUAGGGCAUACACCAAUGUACCAAACCCUAUCAAACUCCGAAUACCUUAUAUGUAAUCACAGCAGUCAGGCGGCGAGUGAUAAAAUCCGUCGUCAAGAGGGAAACAACCCAGACUACCAGCUAAGGUCCCUAAAUCUUACUUAAGUGGAAAACGAUGUGAAGUUACUUAAACAACCAGGAGGUUGGCUUAGAAGCAGCCAUCCUUUAAAGAAAGCGUAAUAGCUCACUGGUCUAGUGAUUUUGCGCGGAAAAUAUAACGGGGCUAAAGUAAGUACCGAAGCUGUAGACUUGCACACAACUU